CGGUGCGUUCAUACCAGCACUAUCGCAUCGGAUCCCAUCAGAACUCUGAAGCUAAAUGUGCUUGGACGAGAGUAGUACUUUGAUGGGUGACCUCUUGGGAAGUCCUCAUGUUGCACCCC
rfam:Ricinus communis cultivar Hale ctg_1100012362470, whole genome shotgun sequence.